CACAAACACACACUCUGCAUUCACGAUAUAUACACACUACACAAACACUCACUGCGUUCACUUUACACACUACACAAACACACCCUGCUUUCAUUAUAUACACACUACACAAAUGCACACUGCAUCCACCAGCCAAACACACACAGCUCCCCUGUUUAAACACACUGCAUCCACUACAUGUGGCAUGCAUAUUUUGUGCAUUUACCUUAAGAAAUAGUUUAUUUUUUCAAAAUGGUAAAUGUACAGAAUAUC